rnacentral:lncRNA from 1 species
UCUAGACGGCAGAACACACCGGGGAGGGCAGGCCAGCGAAACUGUCCUACACGGAGGCAGAGGGCGAACGAUCUGCACUGCUGGCAGCUAUCCGCGGGCACAGCGGCACCUGCAGCCUGAGGAAGGUGGCAUCCUCUGCUUCUGAGGAGCUCCAGAGCUUCCGAGAUGCCGCACUCUCUGCUCAGGGCUCGGAAAGUCCUCUGCUAGAAGACCUUGGUCUUCUGUCCCCACCAGCCAUUCCCCCACCACCCCCUCCACCCUCCCAGGCUCUCUCUGCACCAAGGACGGCCUCCAGGUUCAGCACGGGCACCCUCAGCAACACCGCAGACGCAAGGCAAGCCUUGAUGGACGCCAUCCGCUCCGGCACAGGGGCUGCGAGACUGAGAAAGGUGCCCUUGCUCGUGUGAAUGAACAGAGGCCAGAGAAUUGCAGAAACCCACCUGUAAUAUGCCCACAGGCGUCACUCAAGGAGUCUGCAUAGCCAGGAACAUCAAGUUUUGGUGUUACUUUCUUGUCUACAGGCCAAAUGCGCACAGUUGAUUUUCGGUGUGUUCCUGUAUAACGGCUUGAAAGGAAAGGAGAAGAUGCUGUGUCGCUGCGCAGCUCGUGUGCCAAGGAAAUGUGUUUUGCCUCUGAAUAUCUUAAGUUGCUAAUAAACGAUUCUUGUUGGCAGGUUAAUGGGACUAUAAAUGCUGGAGCCCAGCACUCACACUUAAUUAUAUUUAUGGGCAAAGUAAAAAGAAUCAUGCCUUAGACUGAUUUUGGACCUUUGAGACUUUUACCACAUACAGAUGGAUGAAACUACUUACUGAUUUAAGAUCUUUUGAAUUUUAGAAAAAACAUAUGAAUCAGAUGGAACAAUCUGAAUGUGAUAUGCUCCAUGAUGCUGUGUGUUUUGGUAGU